rnacentral:lncRNA from 1 species
AUUCAGCAAGAAAGAAACUCCCAUCUGCAUACCAGCUUCAGAAAUGGCAAACCUGGAAUUUCAGACUUCAGCAGCAGUGAAACUCUGCUGGAAGAUAUGGCUCCAAUUUCCAUGCCGGAAGCAAUGUGCUGGGGGAUACCCUCCUCCCACCUCCCACCAGGACUUGUUAACAGCAGGUGAUCUAAAGAAUAGUUUUCUUAUAACAAAUGAUGCAGUGCAACAGAACCUACAUUCAAGCAGUAAGAGCAGCUCAUGUAACUCUGUGCUGAUGGUGACUUCUGAGUACUCUGGAUGCAAGCUGGGAUUUUCUUCCAUAUUCCUUAUGACACCUCAACCACACCUACUAAUAUUACAAGCUAUAUGCCUAAAUUCAGGAAGGAUGUGGGGACAACCCAACCACUUGAGUUACCCAGGGCAACCAUCCUGCACAACCAAGGCAGCUCACAAGCACAAUAUGAACGGCGUAACAUGGGCAUACAGAUGGCUCUGAAGAGUGUGUUAAAUUCAAUGGGAUUUUCUUUGCUCUACAAGGCCUCCCAGAAUCACUGUUUUGCUCCAAUUUUCUCAGCAUGCAUGGCUACAUCAGCCCUCUCUCAGCUAAGUCAGAGAGAGCUGAGAGCAUCUCUGUUCAAGCUAAUACAGUCUUCCAGAAAUGAGAGCACUGAAAAGUGAAAUGAAGGGAUGCAAAACAGUUUGGAGACAGCCAGGCUGUCCUUGACAUGGAUGACAAGCAGAUCCUGCUGCAACCUAAGCAGCUGCACACAGUGCUGCUCUCAUGCCUUUGCAUCAGAGGUCACAUGUAAACCUUCCCUUAUCCAAUUGUCACAGGUCUCUCUCCUCCCCUUCCCAUCUCCUGGGAGAUAAAAGCAGACUACUGGAGACAAAUCCUCAAACAGCCACCUUCUCAGAGAGACCAAACCAGCUGCAUGGAUUUUUUUGGGGUCAAGUGUUGGUUUUUAUUUUCUUCUUUCAGAGCUUGUUACUUUUGCCAAUAUUAUUUCCUAAAGAAAAUCCUACACUUGCUUUAACAGGUAGUACUAAAAUACUCACCAGUCCUCUGAAAGCUCAAAACCAACCUAGUCUAUGAAUGCAAGAGAAGACAUAUCAAUGAACAAUAAAAAAACCCACACAACAACCUAAAUAAAACCU